GAUGAACGCUGGCGGCGUGCCUAAUACAUGCAAGUAGAACGCUGAAGGAGGAGCUUGCUCUUCUGGAUGAGUUGCGAACGGGUGAGUAACGCGUAGGUAACCUGCCUGGUAGCGGGGGAUAACUAUUGGAAACGAUAGCUAAUACCGCAUGACAACAGUUAUUGCAUGAUAACUGUUUAAAAGGGGCAACUGCUCCACUACCAGAUGGACCUGCGUUGUAUUAGCUAGUUGGUGAGGUAACGGCUCACCAAGGCGACGAUACAUAGCCGACCUGAGAGGGUGAUCGGCCACACUGGGACUGAGACACGGCCCAGACUCCUACGGGAGGCAGCAGUAGGGAAUCUUCGGCAAUGGACGGAAGUCUGACCGAGCAACGCCGCGUGAGUGAAGAAGGUUUUCGGAUCGUAAAGCUCUGUUGUAUGAGAAGAACGAGUGUGAGAGUGGAAAGUUCACACUGUGACGGUAUCUUACCAGAAAGGGACGGCUAACUACGUG
rnacentral:rRNA from 1 species